rnacentral:rRNA from 1 species
UACGAAGGGGGCUAGCGUUGCUCGGAAUUACUGGGCGUAAGGGGCGCGUAGGCGGUUCUAUAAGUCAGGCGUGAAAUUCCUGGGCUUAACCUGGGGGCUGCGCUUGAGACUGUGGGACUUGAGGUCAGAAGAGGGUCGUGGAAUUCCCAGUGUAGAGGUGAAAUUCGUAGAUAUCGGGAGGAACACCAGUGGCGAAGGCGGUUGCCUGGAGCUUUGCUGACGCUGAUGCGCGAAAGCGUGGGGAGCGAUCCGG